rnacentral:rRNA from 1 species
UACGUAGGGUGCUAGAGGUGUUCGGAAUUAUUGGGCGUAAAGCGGGUUUAGGUGGUUUGUUAAGUCAGAUGUGAAAUCCCUUGGCUCAACCAAGGAAGUGCAUCUGAAACUAUCAAGCUAGAGGACGGCAGAGGGAGGUGGAAUUCCUAGUGUAGAGGUGAAAUUCGUAGAUAUUAGGAGGAAUACCGGUGGCGAAGGCGGCCUCCUGGACCGUUCCUGACCCUGAGAUCCGAAAGCGUGGGUAGCAAACAGG